rnacentral:rRNA from 1 species
GACGGGGCCGCACAAGCAGCGGAGCAUGUGGUUUAAUUCGAAGCAACGCGAAGAACCUUACCUAGACUUGACAUCUCCUGAAUUACCCGUAACUGGGGAAGCUCUUCGGAGCAGGAAGACAGGUGGUGCAUGGUUGUCGUCAGCUCGUGUCGUGAGAUGUUGGGUUAAGUCCCGCAACGAGCGCAACCCUUAUCGUUAGUUGCUACCAUUAAGUUGAGCACUCUAGCGAGACUGCCCGGGUUAACCGGGAGGAAGGUGGGGAUGACGUCAAAUCAUCAUGCCCCUUAUGUCUAGGGCUACACACGUGCUACAAUGGUGAGGACAAAGAGACGCAAGACCGCGAGGUGGAGCAAAUCUCACAAACCUCAUCCCAGUUCGGAUUGCAGGCUGAAACUCGCCUGCAUGAAGCCGGAGUUGCUAGUAAUCGCGAAUCAGCAUGUCGCGGUGAAUACGUUCCCGGGCCUU